rnacentral:lncRNA from 1 species
GAAAAAGUAUAAUUUUUUAGCAAAAUAAAAAAUAACAAAGCCUAAUUCUAAGAACCUAUGACAUGCCCACUCUAUUUGCCUACAGAAAUUUUCACUGAAAAUUAUUCCCGCUUUUCGGCUUAAUUUCAUCAUCGAUGCUACCAAAGCGUAAUUCAUUUGAUUUGCUUACCCUCAAAAUUUCUUGUGGAUCCCAUGGUUGCAAUCCCAAUCUCUUCAUUUGCCAUAAUAUUGAUUUUUGGUAAAUAAGUUCCGACAAAUUUUGUGAUCUUGUUCAAGCAGUCUUCAAGGUAUGCCUAUCAGCUUUGUUUUAAUCUUUAAUUAAUUUUUUACCUUAGUUUAAUUAGAUAUGGUAUUUCUAUUGAUGUUUUUGAAAUAUGACGAAUUUCUUUAAUAUGAACCAUUGAAUUUAUAUGGUAAUUUUAGUUACGGUAAUUUUAGUUAACUUUGAAGAAAACAAAAGUGAAAUUAACUACAAAGAAAUUCAGUUUUAUUGAAAUGGGAUUGAUCAAUUUGGACAUUAUGUUUAGGGACGUUAAAUUGGAAUUGGGAUUGUAAAAGAUUUAUUUUAAUAUUUGAUUUGAUUCUAAUUUCAAUGUGAUAAAUUCCAUCCUAUGAUCUGCCUCAAUUCAUUUCUUUGUAAUUUAGAUGCAAGCAAGGGCGAAACCAUAUAUGCAAGACGGGAUCGUUCAUCAUAUUUAGAAAUUGACUACACAUCGUAAUACGCUUUAAGAAAAAAAAUAUUUUAAAUUGGGCGAACGGAUUUGAUUUAGUUUUAGCUUUGGGUUGAUUCAAUUUUGGUUGCUGGUUCCGAAUUGAUUUCAAGUGCCUCCUUUUAAAUUUAAAUUGCAUAUUAUAUAUUUUAGUUUCUUCUAGGUGAUAAAUUAUGAUGAAUGACAUGUUGCAUCUAAACAUUAUCUGAUAUGUUUCAUUGCAUAUUUUAAAUAUACCAUGUUAAUGGUAAAAACUAUCUUUCUUUGUAUUUUGAAUCAUUAGUGAUGAAGAACUAUGUUACCAGGCAAAGUGGAGCGUGUGUGGGCUACUAUGUAAUCUGGGACUCAAAAUGCGAAACGGCAAACGUUAUGGGUGGCUUAGAUUUAAUUCCCAGAUCGAUGACUAGGGGAUUAAAUAUUUGAAUUCUACGGCCAGGAUUAGACAUGGUUGUCUAUAAAAGGGGGAAACUUAGGCGAAUGUCAGUUUUCACUUUUGCCUUGACAUUGUGUUCUUGAGUUCCUUGCAUUCUCUAUGCUUUUCACCAGCUUCUUCACUUUCGGCCUUUUUAGAUUUGUGCUCUGAUUGAGCAAAUUUUUGUAAGUAACUAAAGAACUUAGUAAGUUUUGUCACUGACAUGGCGUCAUCUUCAUCUGAACGGGUAGAUCUGAGGAGGUUGGGUGCUGAUAUGGGGGUAGAGAUUACCAGUACUUCUUACCUGGUUGAGGCUAUUAAGGCUGGCCAGAGUUGCCUUCCAAUAGUUGGGAGAGGGGCUGGGAGCGAGGGGUGGAGGGCAGAGAAAAUUCAGUCUAUUGCAGAUGCCCCUUUUUUAUGAACUUGAGAAAAAUAUCAUAUCCCUUACGACAUUGAAUUAUUAGCCCCUUCCCCCGAUGAGCAAGCCUGUUACUUGAGGUCGGGGUGUGUAUUUUUCAGUGAGUUCCUUCUAAAAGUGGAACUUCGAAUUCCAUUGCACCCAUUCUUUAGCGCAAUCCUUAGGUUGUAUGGGUUGGCUCCUAAGUACAUGAUUAAAGAUUUCAUGUAGGCAAUUUAUUAUCAAACGUUAGAUAGUAAACCAAUUUAUAUGUCAUUUGACGUUCCAAUCUUGGAAUAUGCUGUACACGACGUAGAUGUGUACAAUAUGGCUCGAUAGCAAUGAUCCUUUCAUGGUUGCUCUAUGACAAUCAAGUUAUAAACUGUAGUGUAAAAUUGGUUUGCUAGUUGAAAUUAAUCAAAAUGACAAAGUGGG